GAGACUCUGUGCGCGUGCAUAUCAAUAAGCGGAGGAAAAGAAACUAACAAGGAUUCCCUUAGUAACGGCGAGUGAAGCGGGAAGAGCUCAAAUUUGAAAUCUUCAAGGUUCUACCUUGACGAAUUGUAGUUUAUAGAAGUGUUUUCUGUUAGUGGAGUGGCAAAAGUUCUUUGGAAUAGGACAUCAUAGAGGGUGAGAAUCCCGUAUUUGGUCAUUCCUCCUAGCGUUGUGAUACACUUUCAACGAGUCGGAUUGUUUGGGAAUGCAGUCCAAAAUGGGUGGUAAAUUUCAUCUAAAGCUAAAUAUUGGCGAGAGACCGAUAGCGAACAAGUACCGUGAGGGAAAGAUGAAAAGAACUUUGAAAAGAGAGUUAAACAGUACGUGAAAUUGUCAAAAGGGAAGCGUUUGACACCAGUGUUGUUUUUCCGAAAAUCAAUUACGAAAUGGCUUGAUUUUGUGUUGUAUUGACCUUAUCAGCUUUCUUCACUUUUUUCGAGUCUUUCUUAAUGCACUUUUUGGUUAACAAGUCAACAUCAAUUUCUUUUGUUGUAAAAGAGUAUUCGGAAGGUGGCUUUCUUUUCGGAGAAAGUGUUUAUAGCCCUAUACUUCUACAAUCGGAGAGAUUGAGGUCUGCAGCGUAGAUCCCUCGGGGUUAGAUACACUUGUGCUAAGUUGUAGCUUUUCAUAGACAACUUGUUGACUAUGUUUAGUCAUGCGGCUUACUCGCUUAUGCUAUUUUACCUACGCUUAGGAUGUUGACUGAUAUGUAGUCGUA
rnacentral:rRNA from 1 species